ACAAUGGGCGAAAGCCAGAUGCAGCAACGCCGCGUGGACGAUGAAGGCCUUCGGGUCGUAAAGUCCUUUUCAGGGGGGACGAGUGAGGACGGUACCCCUGGAAUCAGUCACGGCUAACUACGUGCCAGCAGCCGCGGUAAAACGUAGGUGGCGAGCGUUAUCCGGAUUCACUGGGCGUAAAGGGCCUGCAGGCGGCCUGGCAAGUGGGACGUGAAAUCUCCCGGCUCAACUGGGAGGGGUCGUUCCAUACUGCUAGGCUGGAGGGCAGAAGAGGAAAGUGGAAUUCCCGGUGUAGUGGUGAAAUGCGUAGAGAUCGGGAGGAACACCAGUGGCGAAGGCGACUUUCUGGUCUGCCCCUGACGCUAAGAGGCGAAAGCUAGGGGAGCGAACGGGAUUAGAAACCCCGGUAGUCCUAGCCAUAAACGAUGGAUGCUGGGUGUCGGAGGUCCUAACCCCUUCGGUGCCGAAGCCAACGCGUUAAGCAUCCCGCCUGGGGACUACGGCCGCAAGGUUA
rnacentral:rRNA from 1 species